rnacentral:rRNA from 1 species
UUCUUUUAGAUUAUAUUAAAAGUAUAUUCUGCUCAGUGCAUUAUGUAAAUAGCUGCAGGCGACUGUACUAAGGUAGCGUAAUCAUUAGUUUUUUAAUUGGAAUCAUGGAUGAAUGAAAGAAUGAUGUUAAUAUUUAUUUUUUGUGGGAUGUUGAAUUUAAUUUUUAGGUUAAAAAGCCUUAAUGUAUUUUAGGGACGAGAAGACCCUGAGAAGCUUGACUUUGUCUAUUUUAUGGUAUGUAGAAUUGAGUUUGGCUGGGGAAGUUAGCUUGGUGUAUUGAAGUUAUUGAGCCUUUUAUAAGGAAUGUUAGUGAAAGUUACUCCAGGGAUAACAGCGUAAUAAAAUUAUUUUAGUUCUUAUGGAAUAAUUUGUUUGCGACCUCGAUGUUGGAUUAAAAGCUCUAUAAGGGGCAACCCCUUUUUAAGAUAGACUGUUCGUCUAUUAAAAGUUUACA